GCCGGGAUGGCGCAACAGGCUGACGCGAUCGUCUCAAACACGAUUGCCCGAAAGGGCAUGCGGGUUCGAAUCCCGUUCCCGGCACCA
rnacentral:tRNA from 2 species